rnacentral:misc_RNA from 1 species
GCAAUCUCACCUCCUCAACUUUAGUGGUUGACCAGUGUGGAUCUGGAUGCUGCCAUGUAACAAGUGGCUCAUCUGAAAAGUCUGAGUGUAUCCUGUCUAUGUGGUAUAUUCGGUGUAAUAAACCUUCACCGGAGAAGAUUUUAGGAUCAUGCCCAUAUGACAGGCUCUAUGCUUCCAACUGUCUCCAUAAGACAAUACUCUGACAAU